CUAGGACACACGGCGAGCGCUCUCAGAAGGGUUUGGGUGCGAGCUAGUUGGUCCGGAUCAUUCAUAUUUAAUAUAGCGCCAAA
rnacentral:lncRNA from 1 species